GUCUAUGGCCAUGCCAUCCUGAACAAGCCCGAUGUCUGAUCUCGAAAGCUAAGCAAGGUCGGGCCUGGUUAGUACUUGGAUGGGAGACCACCUAGAAAGACCAGGUGCUGUAGGUA
rnacentral:rRNA from 1 species